rnacentral:rRNA from 1 species
UGAGUAACCUGCCCUUAACUCUGGGAUAAGCCUGGGAAACUGGGUCUAAUACCGGAUAUGACUCCUCAUCGCAUGGGUGGGGGGUGGAAAGCUUUAUUGUGGUUUUGGAUGGACUCGCGGCCUAUCAGCUUGUUGGUGAGGUAAUGGCUCACCAAGGCGACGACGGGUAGCCGGCCUGAGAGGGUGACCGGCCACACUGGGACUGAGACACGGCCCAGACCUCCGUACGGGAGGCAG